AGGGUGGACAUUAGGACCCAGGAGGCCAGGAGUCAGCUGCCUUCUCCCGACGGAGAGUAUUUCCGGGGCAGCACUCAGGAACGGCAUAUAAGGCCCGGUGAGGAGGCGUUCCUGAGUGUUGUUCAUCCGGUCUUCAAACGGAGCCAAACGGAGACACGAAGGGAGCGCGGGAAAAAGUUCAGGCUGUCUAUCAGGCCAGACGUGCUGCUUGCGUGGGCUCCCCCUCCCAUCUCAUCAUAAUCGCCCUUCAGGAGCGACGCAGGUGAAGCAGUGGCACUGAUGCAAGGUAGUUUCAAAGUAGUUAAAAUGGAGCAUGACGUUUCUGUUUUUAAUGUGACUUUUAACACUUUGAUGCCACGUGUACAUGUCCUAAAUACAGACCCUUGUGAGAUAGUGUAACCGCUUGGGAACCCGCAACCACAGACAGGGCUGUGUGAAGGAAAGGAAAUUUAAAUGUGAGUCACACCAGCUGGUAAUUAUUUUUAUGAUGGUUGUCUCACUGUGUUCUUAAAUCUCUUUUCUGUUGGUUUUAGGAUUGAUAUGUGCUUUUAGACUUGUCACUGUUUUUUAUCCCCACUGCUCGCUUUUAUUUUUUUAUCUCUUUUAUCUUUUUUUAAUGUGUUUUGUUUGGGGUAUUUUUAACCCCUUUUUACACUUGGCACUUU